rnacentral:misc_RNA from 1 species
GAUUUCUAUAGUAAUUUUCUCAGAAAAUUCUGCGUCCUCCUGGUGGUGCCUAGAUGAAUUGGUGAAAAUAAUUGACUGCAAGAAAACAAUGGGACGAAAGGUUUUACCCAUUUUCUACCAUGUAGAUCCUUCUCAUAUUAGAAAUCAAACUGGAAAAUUUGGAGAAGCAUUUGGGAAAGCUAAAGAAAAGCAGAGCUUAGACGUUGUGGAAG